rnacentral:rRNA from 1 species
CACGCCGUAAACGAUGAAUACUAGGUGUAGGAGGUAUCGACUCCUUCUGUGCCGCAGCUAACGCAAUAAGUAUUCCGCCUGGGAAGUACGAUCGCAAGAUUAAAACUCAAAGGAAUUGACGGGGGCCCGCACAAGCAGCGGAGCAUGUGGUUUAAUUCGAAGCAACGCGAAGAACCUUACCUGGACUUGACAUCCCCUGAAUGACUCGUAAUGGAGGAAGCCCUACGGGGCAGGGAGACAGGUGG